GAUGAACGCUGGCGGCGUGCCUAAUACAUGCAAGUCGAGCGAACAGACGAGGAGCUUGCUCCUCUGACGUUAGCGGCGGACGGGUGAGUAACACGUGGAUAACCUACCUAUAAGACUGGGAUAACUUCGGGAAACCGGAGCUAAUACCGGAUAAUAUAUUGAACCGCAUGGUUCAAUAGUGAAAGACGGUUUUGCUGUCACUUAUAGAUGGAUCCGCGCCGCAUUAGCUAGUUGGUAAGGUAACGGCUUACCAAGGCGACGAUGCGUAGCCGACCUGAGAGGGUGAUCGGACACACUGGAACUGAGACACGGUCCAGACUCCUACGGGAGGCAGCAGUAGGGAAGCUUCCGCAAUGGGCGAAAGCCUGACGGAGCAACGCCGCGUGAGUGAUGAAGGUCUUCGGAUCGUAAAACUCUGUUAUUAGGGAAGAACAAAUGUGUAAGUAACUAUGCACGUCUUGACGGUACCUAAGCAGAAAGCCACGGCUAACUACGUG
rnacentral:rRNA from 1 species